rnacentral:lncRNA from 1 species
UGCCAUAAGCACAAAACCGCCAAAUUAGAUCAAGUAAUCGAAUAAAAUCCGUAAAAUAAGGUUCAGAUUACAUGAUUUACAUCUUAAGUUAAGUCCACACAGCAACUGCUAAGCGAGAUUUAGGCCUAAUAAUUCUUAUGUUUCCCUUAUGUUAACAGGAUGAAGCUGAAUCCAUCAAGUAACUCAAUCAAUCAAAUAUUGUUACAAACUCAAACCAACAUCAAUUCCACACAUCAAUUAACCAUCUUAUGAGCUAACAAGACAAAUCCAUGUGCAUCACAGAAAUAAAAAAAGAAGACAAAAAUUUCAUUUCAUUUAAUUUCACAGACAUGAUAAACUAAAACAGCAAAGUAUGUUGAGGAUCAAGGUAUUACUUUCGACGACAGCCAGAGCUUUAGAUUCCUCAGGCUUUUCCUCCUCCGGAGGAGUGACAGGCACGAUGGCCUUCUCCUCCGGAGUUUCAGUGACAGGAGCUGGAGCUGGAGGAGCAACCUCCUGAGGAGUCUCAGCCUCAGGCUUCUUGGAAUCUUCAACUUCUUGAGUCAUUUCUUGGAAGAUUCAGAUGGAACAAUAAUUGAGGGGGUUAAAGAAU